AAAUUGAAGAGUUUGAUCAUGGCUCAGAUUGAACGCUGGCGGCAGGCCUAACACAUGCAAGUCGAGCGGAAACGAGUUAUCUGAACCUUCGGGGAACGAUAACGGCGUCGAGCGGCGGACGGGUGAGUAAUGCCUAGGAAAUUGCCCUGAUGUGGGGGAUAACCAUUGGAAACGAUGGCUAAUACCGCAUAACACCU
rnacentral:rRNA from 1 species